AUUGAACGCUGGCGGCAGGCCUAACACAUGCAAGUCGAGCGGAUGAAGGGAGCUUGCUCCUGGAUUCAGCGGCGGACGGGUGAGUAAUGCCUAGGAAUCUGCCUGGUAGUGGGGGAUAACGUCCGGAAACGGGCGCUAAUACCGCAUACGUCCUGAGGGAGAAAGUGGGGGAUCUUCGGACCUCACGCUAUCAGAUGAGCCUAGGUCGGAUUAGCUAGUUGGUGGUGUAAAGGCCUACCAAGGCGACGAUCCGUAACUGGUCUGAGAGGAUGAUCAGUCACACUGGAACUGAGACACGGUCCAGACUCCUACGGGAGGCAGCAGUGGGGAAUAUUGGACAAUGUGCGAAAGCCUGAUCCAGCCAUGCCGCGUGUGUGAAGAAGGUCUUCGGAUUGUAAAGCACUUUAAGUUGGGAGGAAGGGCAGUAAGUUAAUACCUUGCUGUUUUGACGUUACCAACAGAAUAAGCACCGGCUAACUUCGUG
rnacentral:rRNA from 1 species